UCUGACCUUUAUUACACUCUACAGCUAUUCUUUCUGGCGUUCGAGGGUGUCACAAUCCCAGAAAUGCCAACUGCCUCAGUGACAGUAACCUGGGCAACCAUGGCCAGAGUUGGUGGGGUUAAGGCCCUGGAAAGGAGGACGGGGAAAGGGAAAACAAGAGCUUUUUGUUUUGUUCUGGUUUGUCUGCUUUCUAACAAUCCAAUGCUCAGCUCUACAGUCAGGGAAGAUGAUCAGGACAGACUUCAUAGUGUCCUUGUGAAAAUUUAAUGAGAAGACAUUGCAAAACAUCUAGAGCAAUGGCACAGCAGAUGAUGAAAGGGAUGGGAAACUCCUGGGGAUAGAAGCAGAGGAAUGACAUAACUACAGACAUGCUUGAGAAAGAAUGAGUCCGGCGGACAUGAAGGAGACUGCAGAAAGGCCACUGCAACCCAGAGGGGAGGGGUGGUGACAGUUCCAAUCAGGUCAGUUACAGAAGCUGGGAUAAGAAGGAAGGCAUGGGUUCCAGAGCUUUCCGAAGGAGUCAUUGCAGGACUUCAAUUGCAAGAAUAUCAGGGUUAGGUUGGGGCAGAAAGCACAUCCAAAAAGGAAGACAAAAAUGACAUGGAAAAAACGAUGGCAUAUUGGGCUUUCUAACAGACUGCUUGAUGCUAAAACAGUCUGUCUCACAAUUUUUUUUUAAGAUCACAAACCUCAAAACUAGAGAUUUAUAUGUUUAGAA
rnacentral:lncRNA from 1 species